CCUACGGGUGGCAGCAGUGAGGAAUAUUGGUCAAUGGACGCAAGUCUGAACCAGCCAUGCCGCGUGCAGGAAGACGGCUCUAUGAGUUGUAAACUGCUUUUGUACGAGGGUAAACGCAGAUACGCGUAUCUUUCUGAAAGUAUCGUACGAAUAAGGAUCGGCUAACUCCGCGCCAGCCGCCGCGGUAAUACGGAGGGUUCAAGCGUUAUCCGGAUUUAUUGGGUUUAAAGGGUGCGUAGGCGGUCGGUUAAGUUAGAUGUGAAAUCCCGGGGCUGAACUUAGGAAUUGCAUCUGAUACUGGUCGGCUAGAGAGUAGUAGCGGUAGGCGGAAUGUAAGGUGUAGCGGUGAAAUGCUUAGAGAUC
rnacentral:rRNA from 1 species